rnacentral:rRNA from 1 species
AGGAUGAACGCUGGCGGCGUGCCUAAUACAUGCAAGUGAAACGGGUAUCUUCGGAUACCAGUCGCGGACGGGUGAGUAAUACAUAGGCAACCUGCCUUUUAUGAGGGGGGAUAACCGAGGGAAACUUUGGCUAAUACCGCAUGAAGACUCUAAGGCAUCUUAGAGGGAUAAAAGUUGGGAAACAACGCAUGAAGAUGGGCUUAUGGCGCAUUAGCUAGUUGGUGAGAUAGAAGCCCACCAAGGUAAUGAUGCGUAGCCGACCUGAGAGGGUGAACGGCCACAUUGGGACUGAGACACGGCCCAAACUCCUACGGGAGGCAGCAGUAGGGAAUUUUCGGCAAUGGGGGGAACCCUGACCGAGCAACGCCGCGUGAAGGAAGAAGGUUUUCGGAUUGUAAACUUCUGUUAUAAGGGAAGAACGGAUUGGAUAGGGAAUGAUCUGAUAGUGACGGUACCUUAUUAGAAAGCCACGGCUAACUACGUGCCAGCCGCGGC